AACUGGACCAUCUUCUCAAUCAGCAGCUGGUCCUGGUCAGUCUGUCCAUCUUGAUCAAGGAUAUGCUGGACAGCUUUGGUGAAACCUUCUCGCAAGGCCCUGGUUCCACUCCGGGUAGUCGGACCGCGCCUAACUAUGGGAACCUCUACUUGGAUGGCCUCAUCACCGUGUUUGUCGAGCUAAUCGUGCUGCAAUUACUAUGUGAGAUAGAUCAUGUCAGACAGGAUCCAAUAGAUGGAAGUUUCAUAUAAACUUGAAAAUCGUAAAUGUGGAUGCGGUAUAUAGCAAUGUUCUAAUGAGACUCUUAACCAUUUGGUGGAGAGUUCUAUAUAAUCUCAAUUCUGUUUAUUUAUUUUCCAGAAGAAAAAAGCAUGACAGACAGCAAAUAACUGUAGUUGUACUUGUUGGUGAAUGAUAGCUGAAAUUUUUAAGUGUCUCCUGAGAGAGAUACUUAGCAUCUAACCAUGAGCGCCUCUGUUUGCCUGUCUUGGAUGGAUUUAUAAAUUCCCAUAAUUUUCCAAGAAACAUCAACCCAAACAUUUUGUUUUUAAAGCAACUUUAGUUACAUGAGAUGAAUUCAUCGUCAACGUCAGUAUCAUUGACUGAGUCUGCGUUUACGACACGACGACCUUGGUUGCUAUUGCUCUGCUCGCCGUUAACCGCUUUAGCUCUACCCUUGGCUUCUUUCUUAACCAUGUCUGAGUAUUCUUGUUGUGGUUUCAAUGUUAACAGAUUCUCUGAGUAUUUUAGAUGAUGGUUAAGGAUAUGAGGUAGCUAAACGGUGAAUGAAGGAGCAUGGACUGUUUUUGGUUUUAAUGGGAAUGGUUUUAUGAGUGAGUAAAUGCACCCAGCGUAUAUUUGUAACCGCAAGGGUUAACAAAAAGGUGCUGACUUGCGAGUAACGCAACAGAUGAAUAUCAUGAUUUAAAACUCAACUCUAUUUAAAGUGAAUGUACAUGAUCAUCAUUCUCUAUUGUAACAUGAAUAACAUGAAUUCUUUAGUUAUUAAUCAACUCCAGAUAACUACACAAUAAAAAUAUCAAAUAGUUUACAGAGUUUUUGAUUUUCAGAUUGAACUAAAAAAUCAAAAUAAAGAAGACGGAAACGUUGUUUGCUUUAUGAAACCAAAAAAAAUAACACUGAAAUGCAUAUAGAGAAACAAUCUAAAAUUAAUAACAAACAUUUAAAAAUGGUUGUUUAGAUGAACAUUAAAAAUUCAGUUAUGCCUCUUAUUCAUGAGAAGCACAUUUUAUUACAUAGAACAUUCACUGUUUUCUUAAGAAAUAUUAUGUAAAUAUAACAUUUAUUACAUAGAAUACUUCUUUUGUGCCAACCUUCCAAGCUGCUGAUGCGCGACCCUUCUUGGUGGCGACACCACUGGAAGAUGUUCCUCAAUAUGAUGAUUCCUCAUGAUCAUUGCCAUCAUCCUUAACCUUAGAGAGUACUGAACUGCCACCAGGCAUGUCAUCCCCAUUAUCAUCAUCAUUAUUUGAUGUUAGUCACGACAACAACUCCUGGAUCAUCUCCAAAGCCUUCCAGCUUAUUGUGAAACGCCACUGCUUGCGAGUCAAACAGAGUCAUAGUGACAGAUACAUCACUGCCAACAGAGAAACAAUAAUAUGAAAUAACCAUCGUAUAUUUACUCAGUUAUGAAAAUGAUGAAUAGCUUUAUACGAAGAGAUAUUAACUUAUCCAUCUUGAUCGCUGCCAUAACACGUUCUAUUCCCUGAGGAACGUCACUCACUAUACUCUUCACAGCAGCGAGUUCUCCAAUUAUUUCUGAGAGUUAAUGGAGCGCUCAAUUAUUUAUCGGUUUCAAUAAUGAAUUUGGGAUGAAUCAGAUAUUAAGCGGAUGUACCUGGAAGAUGUGUGCUUGUAUUGGCUAGGCCAUGAAGCGAAUCGUGAUUUCAGAACCUAAACCGUUGUUCAGGUAUUGGUGAGACUGAUAUGGUUAACUCAUCAAAAGUGGUUGAAUCACUGAACCGAAUUGAGAGUCGGUUAGGCUGAAGCUCUGAUUGCACUGUGUCACAUCGAACCCGCUUAAUGUGAACAGAGAAUAGGCCUCGAGACGGCGUCGGAAGGUGGCGAGACGGUUGAAUUUGGCAUCAUUGUCGACUGAAAAACGUCUAAAAUAAAUCAAAUAAACAAACGGGUUCAAGAUUUAUCUUUUUAAAUAGUUUGGAAAAUGAUCUUUUUACAGUUUUGAAGAUUUAUGAGUAUAAAAGCCAGAAAUAAUUAACAGAAAAUGAGUUCAUGAGUUUCAAGAACGGAGAACCUUAGCAUCGAUGAAGAUCAUGUCAACGACCAUCAUCUUGACACCGCAUCUAAAAUUUAUGGCUUCCCAGAAUAGAGCAAGAGCAACCUCACCUCGAUGGUGGAUGAACAACUGCCAGCCUUCAAAUCAGCAAGUAGAACAACGUAUUGCUUACCCAUUGUAAUGAGAAAUUAUCAUCGAAUGCUUUUGGAAUUGUGAGGAAGAUUCUCAAUGCAUGAGGACUAAUCUUUUUAUAGGUAGAGAUCUAAGAAGAUAAAGAGACAUUGACUGCAUAAUUGUGGUUGUAGUGGGUCGUGAGAGAAAAGCAAGAUUUAAUGAUGUUGAAUCAAUGCUGAAUCGCUGAACUUGUAACGACAACGGGUAACAAAACGAAACGCUGCUAAACUCCAUCGCAGCUUUUCAGAAAAUGAGAAACCCUAACGGGGAUACCAUUUACAAAGGGAAGGCGACUCACGUGUCAAUUUUGGGCCAAUAUUCAGAAAGUCUUCAGUCCAACAUAAUAUCCUGAAGUCCAGAGAAUAUACAUGAAUUUAAAAGCCCAUCUAAUAACAUAAAGUAGAAAGGGAUUCUCUUCUCAGCCUGCCAGGUCAUCAAAUAGGUGAAGGAGAGCUCAACACCUGUCCAAGUCUCACGUAAGUUUCGCUAUUCUUUCUUUAAAAUGGGCUUUUAAAUUCAUGUAUAUUCUCUGGACUUCAGGAUAUUAUGUUGGACUGAAGACUUUCUGAAUAUUGGCCCAAAAUUGACACGUGAGUCGCCUUCCCUUUGUAAAUGGUAUCCCCGUUAGGGUUUCUCAUUUUCUGAAAAGCUGCGAUGGAGUUUAGCAGCGUUUCGUUUUGUUACCCGUUGUCGUUACAAGUUCAGCGAUUCAGCAUUGAUUCAACAUCAUUAAAUCUUGCUUUUCUCUCACGACCCACUACAACCACAAUUAUGCAGUCAAUGUCUCUUUAUCUUCUUAGAUCUCUACCUAUAAAAAGAUUAGUCCUCAUGCAUUGAGAAUCUUCCUCACAAUUCCAAAAGCAUUCGAUGAUAAUUUCUCAUUACAAUGGGUAAGCAAUACGUUGUUCUACUUGCUGAUUUGAAGGCUGGCAGUUGUUCAUCCACCAUCGAGGUGAGGUUGCUCUUGCUCUAUUCUGGGAAGCCAUAAAUUUUAGAUGCGGUGUCAAGAUGAUGGUCGUUGACAUGAUCUUCAUCGAUGCUAAGGUUCUCCGUUCUUGAAACUCAUGAACUCAUUUUCUGUUAAUUAUUUCUGGCUUUUAUACUCAUAAAUCUUCAAAACUGUAAAAAGAUCAUUUUCCAAACUAUUUAAAAAGAUAAAUCUUGAACCCGUUUGUUUAUUUGAUUUAUUUUAGACGUUUUUCAGUCGACAAUGAUGCCAAAUUCAACCGUCUCGCCACCUUCCGACGCCGUCUCGAGGCCUAUUCUCUGUUCACAUUAAGCGGGUUCGAUGUGACACAGUGCAAUCAGAGCUUCAGCCUAACCGACUCUCAAUUCGGUUCAGUGAUUCAACCACUUUGAUGAGUUAACCAUAUCAGUCUCACCAAUACCUGAACAACGGUUUAGGUUCUGAAAUCACGAUUCGCUUCAUGGCCUAGCCAAUACAAGCACACAUCUUCCAGAAAUAAUUGGAGAACUCGCUGCUGUGAAGAGUAUAGUGAGUGACGUUCCUCAGGGAAUAGAACGUGUUAUGGCAGCGAUCAAGAUGGAUAAUGAUGUAUCUGUCACUAUGACUCUGUUUGACUCGCAAGCAGUGGCGUUUCACAAUAAGCUGGAAGGCUUUGGAGAUGAUCCAGGAGUUGUUGUCGUGACUAACAUCAAAUAAUGAUGAUGAUAAUGGGGAUGACAUGCCUGGUGGCAGUUCAGUACUCUCUAAGGUUAAGGAUGAUGGCAAUGAUCAUGAGGAAUCAUCAUAUUGAGGAACAUCUUCCAGUGGUGUCGCCACCAAGAAGGGUCGCGCAUCAGCAGCUUGGAAGGUUGGCACAAAAGAAGUAUUCUAUGUAAUAAAUGUUAUAUUUACAUAAUAUUUCUUAAGAAAACAGUGAAUGUUCUAUGUAAUAAAAUGUGCUUCUCAUGAAUAAGAGGCAUAACUGAAUUUUUAAUGUUCAUCUAAACAACCAUUUUUAAAUGUUUGUUAUUAAUUUUAGAUUGUUUCUCUAUAUGCAUUUCAGUGUUAUUUUUUUUGGUUUCAUAAAGCAAACAACGUUUCCGUCUUCUUUAUUUUGAUUUUUUAGUUCAAUCUGAAAAUCAAAAACUCUGUAAACUAUUUGAUAUUUUUAUUGUGUAGUUAUCUGGAGUUGAUUAAUAACUAAAGAAUUCAUGUUAUUCAUGUUACAAUAGAGAAUGAUGAUCAUGUACAUUCACUUUAAAUAGAGUUGAGUUUUAAACGUGAGACUUAGACAGGUGUUGAGCUCUCCUUCACCUAUUUGAUGACCUGGCAGGCUGAGAAGAGAAUCCCUUUCUACUUUAUGUUAUUAGAUUUUAAAAUAUAUAUAUAUAUACAUUUAUAUAAGAUAAAUUUAUAUUUUUUAAAAAUAAAAAUAAAUACCCGCACGGAUGGGCGGAUCAAGCGCUAGUCUUGAUUUUAUAGUAAUCACCCUAAGUCAAUUUACAGAGUCCAUGCCUGACGAUACUCUUUGCGUCAUGAUGAAAAUCUCAUAUAAAUAUUUUUUUGUCAUAAAUAUGUAUAAUUUUCUUUUUGGUGUAAAAAUAUUCAUUAACUCUUAAUCAAACCUUCAAAUUAAUUAAGAGCUUUCAGCAAAAUCUUGAUUUUAUGGUACACUUCUUUUUAAUGGGAGGGAAACCAGUUGGAAUUUAACGCUUAACUAGAUUUUGACCCCCGCUUAAAAUCGUAGAUUUUUUUUGUUGACCGUUUGAUAAAAUUUGAAUAGAUUUAUAAAUUUUUAUUAGAAAUAAGUAAUUUAAAAGUUUUUCUAUUAUAAUGUUCGAGUUUCAAACAGUAUUUUCAUAGUGUUUUCAUACAUAAUCUAGACUUGUGGUCGAACCGAUUGAUCAAGUGACAUGUAUAUAGUACAAAACAAAAUUUGGUAAAAAUACGGUAAAAAUCCAAAAAUCCCCUAUUCACAUGCGUCCGAUACCGGUUGAUCCGAUAUAACACAUAUUUUUUAAACAUUUGAUUAAAUUACUAAUAUAAUUUUUAAUGUUGCAUAAAUUGAAUAAGCUUGUGAUUCCUUAGAAUUUGAUGAAUUUUUUUUAUAUGUCAUUCAAAAAAUGAAAAAAUAGUAAUAGAAAGGAAAAACAAAAUCAAUUGAUAUGACAAUAUUAGUUUUUUAUUACUCACCUAUUAUAAGUUUAUAUUUUAUUUAUUUUAGAUUUGAAAAUUAAUUUUAUGAUAGUUUUAAGAUAUUUUUAGGAAAAUACUCUAAGAUAGCACUAAAAAGGUUUAUGUCACAAAUAUAGAUUCUAAGGAUCGAAAUGAUCAAAAUGUUUCAUUAAAGAGGUAAAUAUACAUUUAUACCCCUAAGGUUAACUAAUCCAAACAUUUGGGUUUAGAGUUAAGGGGUGGAGAUUUGGGAUUGAGAUUUAAAAUUUUAUAAAACAAAAAAUAAAUAUUAAAAAUUUUAAAAUAAAAAUUU